rnacentral:rRNA from 1 species
GAGUUUGAUCCUGGCUCAGGACGAACGCUGGCGGCGUGCUUAACACAUGCAAGUCGAACGGUAAGGCCCCUUCGGGGGUACACGAGUGGCGAACGGGUGAGUAACACGUGGGUAAUCUGCCCUGCACUUCGGGAUAAGCCUGGGAAACUGGGUCUAAUACCGGAUAUGAACUCCUGCCGCAUGGUGGGGGUUGGAAAGUUUUUCGGUGCAGGAUGAGCCCGCGGCCUAUCAGCUUGUUGGUGGGGUAAUGGCCUACCAAGGCGACGACGGGUAGCCGGCCUGAGAGGGUGAUCGGCCACACUGGGACUGAGACACGGCCCAUACUCCUACGGGAGGCAGCAGUGGGGAAUAUUGCACAAUGGGCGAAAGCCUGAUGCAGCGACGCCGCGUGGGGGAUGACGGUCUUCGGAUUGUAAACCCCUUUCAGUAGGGACGAAGCGCAAGUGACGGUACCUGCAGAAGAAGCACCGGCUAACUACGUGCCAGCAGCCGCGGUAAUACGUAGGGUGCGAGCGUUGUCCGGAAUUACUGGGCGUAAAGAGCUCGUAGGCGGUUUGUCACGUCGUCUGUGAAAUCCCUCGGCUUAACCGGGGGCGUGCAGGCGAUACGGGCAGACUUGAGUACUACAGGGGAGACUGGAAUUCCUGGUGUACCGGUGAAAUGCGCAGAUAUCAGGAGGAACACCGGUGGCGAAGGCGGGUCUCUGGGUAGUAACUGACGCUGAGGAGCGAAAGCAUGGGUAGCGAACAGGAUUAGAUACCCUGGUAGUCCAUGCCGUAAACGGUGGGCGCUAGGUGUGGGGUCCUUCCACGGACUCCGUGCCGUAGCUAACGCAUUAAGCGCCCCGCCUGGGGAGUACGGCCGCAAGGCUAAAACUCAAAGGAAUUGACGGGGGCCCGCACAAGCGGCGGAGCAUGUGGAUUAAUUCGAUGCAACGCGAAGAACCUUACCUAGGCUUGACAUAUACAGGACGACGGCAGAGAUGUCGUUUCCCUUGUGGCUUGUAUACAGGUGGUGCAUGGUUGUCGUCAGCUCGUGUCGUGAGAUGUUGGGUUAAGUCCCGCAACGAGCGCAACCCCUGUCUCAUGUUGCCAGCACGUAAUGGUGGGGACUCGUGAGAGACUGCCGGGGUCAACUCGGAGGAAGGUGGGGAUGACGUCAAAUCAUCAUGCCCCUUAUGUCUAGGGCUUCACACAUGCUACAAUGGCUAGUACAGAGGGCUGCGAUACCGCGAGGUGGAGCGAAUCCCUUAAAGCUGGUCUCAGUUCGGAUUGGGGUCUGCAACUCGACCCCAUGAAGUCGGAGUCGCUAGUAAUCGCAGAUCAGCAACGCUGCGGUGAAUACGUUCC